ACUAAUUUUAUUCAGUAUAUAUAUGAACUAGAAAGGAGCCACAACAAAUCUAUCCGUCUCGCAGAAUUUAUCAAACCAAAAUCUCUGAAAUUAAGCAAGUGGGAGACAAAGAGAAUCGUAAGAAUGACUCUGCUGGAUCCGGGUAGAGAAAGCUUAGUCUUGUCUGAAUGGUAACUGAGGGGGAAAACCAUUAUAGCUGCAGCUAAGGUUUUGUAAAUCUCGAAGGAAUAAAAUAAACCAAAGGAGUAGUAUGUUUUAAGUAAGCCAAAUAAAAUCUAAGUUAGCUUUUGCACUUGUAAGAUUCUUUGUAAGAACUUUGUAUUUCCAUCUACAGAAAUGUUGUGUUUUCACCG